UGGAGUCUAUCACCUACUUGAACCCCGCUUGGCCCCUCACUCAUUCAAUCACUGGGUAAAUAUUUAUGGAACACCUAUUAUGUGCCAGCCCCAUUCCAGUUCCCUAUAAACCCACAGUCUAGAGAGAGGGACAGCAACACAGAAAGACAAACUUUCUCACAAUGGAAUGUGCACAAAAGAGGAGGCAGGAGGAGCCUGCUGCAGUGAAGGUGGCUGAGGGCAGAAAGCCUCCCCAAGGAAGUGACGUGUCCUUUGAGACCCUCUCAUCUGGAAGCAGCCAGGCUCCCACACCAUCUCCUCCCAGACUGUGGCCAGAUCACUGAGAAAGAACAUUGUAGAAAUUUCCACCAUCACUUCACUUGUUGAAGACUGACCCGGCCUGAGCACCCUGAAUCUCACUUCUACAUAUAUGAUCUCUACUAAAGACAGAGCAACCUCUCAGAGGCAGAUACCAGUGAAAUAAGUGUUUUAAAGACUACAGAACGGAGGCACAGAGAAGUUAAGUUGCUUAAUAUUGCACAGCUUGUGGAGGAACAGAGGGAUGUGAGGAUGGGGAGAAGACAGAAGUGUCUGCUGGUACCUGUCCUGGCGCGGCCCUGCUGGGUGUGGGUGCUGGGGAUGGAAGCCAAGGUCUCCCACAUGCCAGGCAAGCACUGUUCCACCAAGCCACACUCUUAUUAAGCAAGGUCUCUGUCACAGUACAGACAGCAGUGGGCAGGGGCCCCUGUGGGCUCCUGGAGGCCAUGAGAGAUAGAUGGUGGCAGCUUAGCUAAGGGCAUGGGAGCAAUGAAUAGACGGGACAAAGAAGAUUUGGACUGAUGGAUCUGUCAUAGUGAUGGUAGGGGUAAAGAAAGUGGUGGUGGCAGGGAUAAAAGUUAGAUUUUGGGGCUACAACUUGAGGGAUUUGGGGCUAACUUACGUAGAUGGAGAGAUGGAGAAAGGGGUACAGACUUGGGGAUGGAAGGAAAUAAAAGGUUCAGGUUUGAAUAUAAACGUCCUAACCUCCCAGAGCCGUGGCUUCCUUUCUCUGUAGAAUGCUAUGCUAUGCCUGGUUUGCACAGAACUGAGGGACAGGGCUCUGAGGCUUGGAUGUGCUGGUGCUCAGCUGCGUUAGGGACCUGUUCUUUGACCUCUGUGAGCAUUAGUGUCCUGUGGUGCGUGAGGCUCAGAACACAUGAAGUAUAUGCAAAUGAGAGUAUCUGAGUACCUGUGUGUGCACCUCAAAGAUGUUCUGUGACCCUGAACAGGACUCUUAACCUCUCUGGGCCUCAGUUUCCCCAGCUUGGGUCUGGACUCACAAGCUGGCUCAAGAGCAGUCUUCUAGCACUGAUGCCCUUGAGAAAGGGUGACGUCCCAGGACUCAGGCCCAUGAUCCGCCCCCAGGAAAGGGUCAUCUCAGCCCAGGCUUAAAGGGAUGUUCGGAAGGCUAGGUCUGGCCUGUCUACUCCCACUCAGCCAAGCAAGAAGGUGCUGCCAGAUGACCAGCAGAGCCCUGAUUUUCUCCUUCCCAUCAGGGCUUGGGGUUAAAAGUGGAGGCCUGAGUCCUUCCUCCUUUCAAAUCUACCCCCUCUUCUAUAUCUCAGGCUGGGUCCUAUGCCUCCUGCAAUUCUGCUGCAGGGCUCCAGGGGUCUUUUGAAGCCCUGGCCUCCUCCCUCCUUGCACACAUCUCAGGCCUGCAACUCAGCAGGAGCUGGAGGAGCAGCAGCUCCAAGGUCAAAGGAGAUGCAAUCCUAGUCAGGGAAAGAUGGACAAAGACACCCUGACACCCUCACAGGGACAGGGGCGGAGAGGGGUUCCUCCAAAGCACUGUGACCCUGGGCCACAGUGGAAUGGGGUGGAAAGGAAAGAGCAGCCCCCUCCCCCAGCCAAGAGCCCUGGGCCUCUGCUCGUAUAUCUGUCCCUGGAUAAUGUAUAUCUAGCUUAUGGAAAAUAUUCAUAAUGUCCUUACACCAAACUGGCCCCCUUCCAUAGUGCGUGAUCUAAAAUUAAAUCCAUUUCAAAUAUACAGUAGAUCGAGUCAAGCUAAUAUAAAUGAAAACUGAUUAACAGGCAGAAUGCUGCUGUCCUCCCUAGCAGGCCUGAGGGGGCAGGGCUGGGUCUACCCUACUUAUCUCUCCCUGCAGCCCCCAGACCUCCCAAGGACACCAAGCCCUGUCUUUGUCUAAAUUCCCCUUUCUCUGAACCUGAAGUGUGGACCAGUCCUGGAGCUUGCCCAAACUGCAAGGGACAAGUGGAAGCUAUCAGAGAAAAGCAACUAAGCCAGUGGACAUCAGAGAGAGACAACAGAACUGGGACCUAGACGUCACUUCUCUGAGCCUCAGCUUUCUCAGUCUGUACUAUGGGCUGUUAAACUCUGACGGGCAGGGUGAUUGUGAGUGUUAGACAAGGCAAGAAAGCAAGUAAGGUACCUGCAAAGAUAGGGAGCCUUGUUAUGCUCCCUCAGAGACUGGCUCCCUCAGCCCCUCCCAAGCCCCUACUGGGGGCUGGGGAUCUGUAACCCCCCACCAGCCCCCCGGAUCAGCCGGCAGAACAAGGGCCAGCCAGGAUUCCUGCCAUUGCAGGGAUAUGCUUGGUAGGUUAUUUUUAGAGCGUUGGCAAGUGACUCUGUUACUGACCAAAUGUUCCCACAUUGGGGACAGAUUCUGCUAAGAGGGCACUUGUGGGCUGAAUGUAAGAUGGGAGGGGUGUUUGUGGCCAGUCUCCCGGGGCUUCGUGUGUGUCCUUUUUGCACACACAUGUGAACACAUGUUUCAGGCUGGGGAUGUAGCUCAAGUGGUACAGCGCUUGUCUGCAUGUGUGAGGCCUAAGUUCAAGGCCUAGUAUCCACCCCCAAAAAGAAGCACAGAUUCUGUGGCCACUGAGGGAGAAUAGAAAAGCCUGGGUGGGUGGGGGAAGCACGUGCGCCUGUCUUUCUCCCUCUUCUAGCCUGACUUUGGAGUGCCUUGCAGUUAGGAUACUCAGGGGCAUGGAACAAGCAAUAAUGUCACCUCUGGAGAGCUGACCAUGUUUCCACCUUCAGGAAAGACAUUGGCUUCUGCCAGCUGAGUGUGCAAGCACACACAUGCUUGUGUGCGUGGGCCUGUCUUCUCAUUGCCCUUCUGUAAAGUCUUGCUCUAGGUAAGGGUGUCCCUUACCAUUGCCUGGCCCUUCGGGCUAGGGUUUCUGACUUUCGAUUGCAUUGACCUUCCACAAUCUGAAAGCCCACCUUUUGUGCAAGCCCAUGAGUCACUGGGUGUCUGUCAUCUGUCCAUCCACUCACCCCUUCACUGUUUUGUUUUUUGUUUUUUCUUUCCAAGGGGCCGGAAGGAGAGCCCCAUGGGGUGGGAGGGAGUGCAGUUGGUUUUUUCCUUGUCGUUGGCCAUUUGCUGCCUGCUUCACCAGGCGUGUGGGGAGCAUGUUUGCAUAAAGUGGAUGCAGACUGCAAUU